AAAUUGAAGAGUUUGAUCAUGGCUCAGAUUGAACGCUGGCGGCAGGCCUAACACAUGCAAGUCGAACGGUAACAGGAAUCAGCUUGCUGAUUCGCUGACGAGUGGCGGACGGGUGAGUAAUGUCUGGGAAACUGCCUGAUGGAGGGGGAUAACUACUGGAAACGGUAGCUAAUACCGCAUAACGUCGCAAGACCAAAGAGGGGGACCUUCGGGCCUCUUGCCAUCGGAUGUGCCCAGAUGGGAUUAGCUAGUAGGUGGGGUAACGGCUCACCUAGGCGACGAUCCCUAGCUGGUCUGAGAGGAUGACCAGCCACACUGGAACUGAGACACGGUCCAGACUCCUACGGGAGGCAGCAGUGGGGAAUAUUGCACAAUGGGCGCAAGCCUGAUGCAGCCAUGCCGCGUGUAUGAAGAAGGCCUUCGGGUUGUAAAGUACUUUCAGCGGGGAGGAAGGGAGUAAAGUUAAUACCUUUACUCAUUGACGUUACCCGCAGAAGAAGCACCGGCUAACUCCGUGCCAGCAGCCGCGGUAAUACGGAGGGUGCAAGCGUUAAUCGGAAUUACUGGGCGUAAAGCGCACGCAGGCGGUUUGUUAAGUCAGAUGUGAAAUCCCCGGGCUCAACUUGGGAACUGCAUCUGAUACUGGCAAGCUUGAGUCUCGUAGAGGGGGGUAGAAUUCCAGGUGUAGCGGUGAAAUGCGUAGAGAUCUGGAGGAAUACCGGUGGCGAAGGCGGC
rnacentral:rRNA from 1 species